GUUCCAUCGCCUGCACUUCUAGAUUCAUUGUCUCCUUCCUCUGAUGUAACCAAGAAGUCAAACUCCUUUAGAGCUUCUUUUGUAUCUCGAUCUUCACCGCUGUCAGGCAAUGCUUUUUUCCUAACAAUCUAAUGAAAAAACAUGCUAAAUUAAAUAAAGGAGAUAGUUUCCCUUUACCACUGAAUAAGAAAAUUCAAUUAUUUUCUUCAGAAAGUAUACGUUUGUUGUGUUAAAUAACUGUACUACCUAACUCAGUGAAAAUCACAUAGUUUUAAAAAAUAUGUACAUUAUAAAUUUUAAAGCAGUAAUUUAAACUUUGCUCAACGGUAUUAUGGCUUGUUUUAAGUAAACUAACGGAACCACAUACUGAAAUAUAAGACAUGUACUGAAAUGACAGAUAUACGAUUUACAAGGUUCCCAUAAUUAUUUCUACUGUCCUAACCUUGCAUCAGUUUUCUCUAGUAGCUCUCCAUGUAUUUAUUUUUUUCCCUAAAAUGUUGAUCUUUCAGAGUACAUCUAACUUAGAUUUAACAACAAAUUGGUAAAGGUUGCUAUGGUUCAUUUUUCUAUAUUUAGAAAUAACUCUGGAAUCACAAAUCCAAUUGAAGGGCUAAAACUUAAGCUGAAUACAUGCAGGGACAAUUUUUGUGAUCUACAUGCCUAAGCUCUUUAUGAACUGUCUCCAUCUCAGUCACCUUUACCAACAUGGGCCUAAAGAAAUUAGGAUGCUAGGUUUGCAUUUUCUUUGAAUAAGAUUUCAAUAUCUCAGUUUCUCUAGACUUCAGCUUACUCACUUCAUGCAAAACAGAAAUAACAUGAUAGGAUCAAAUGUUAUCGCUGGGCUAUUGUGAGUGGCUUAAAAUUAUAAAAGUUUUACAGACAGACCAAUAGGAUAGACUAGAGAGUUGAGAAGUAGACCCCAAAGAUGACAAACACGUGACUUGUAUGGCCCUGUUCCCAUGCUGUUAAUUGGUAUCAUUCAUCAAUCACAGCAUUCUUCUUCAAAAACAAGAUACAGCCUCAGAAAUCCUUCUCAGUACAGCACUCCAAGAAGCCACUACCAACAGAACAAAGGUGGCAUCAUAAACAACUCCUAUCUAGCCUUAACUGUCCUGAUACAUAUAAAAACUGUAAAGGAGUGGCCGGGCCCGGUGGCUCAUGCCUGUAAUCCCAGCACUUUGGGAGGCCGAGGUGGGUGGAUCAAGAGGUCAGGAGAUCGAGACCAUCCUGGCUAACACGGUGAAACCCUGUCUCUACUAAAAAGACAAAAAAUUAGCCAGGCAUGGUGGCAGGCACCUGUAGUCCCAGCUACUCGGGAGGCUGAGGCAGAAGAAUGGCGUGAACCUGGGAGGCAGAGCUUGCAGUGAGCCAAGAUCGCGCCACUGCACUCCAGCCUGGGCGACAGAGCAAGACUCCGUCUAAAAAAAAAAAAAACACAAUUGGAUAGGAGAAAUCAAAGGAUUAUUUAAUGAUGCUAGAAUAAUUUGUUUAACUAUUUGGGAUAUUUUCCUAAAAUCAAGAAAUACUUCUAUGCUUACAGCACCUCCCAAUCUACCAUCUAGCAAAUCUAUUAGACAAACAAACAAAAAAAGCAAGAUCAGUGUGGCAGACUGGGAACAGAAAACCCGUGCUGAAUGUGUAUUCUUUUAUAAAUACAAACCAUAUUCUAAUAAUCUAUUCUAAUUUUCCCUAGGUAGCCAGACUAAGGUAGAAAGGUGUAUCUGGGCCAGGUACGGUGGCUCAUGCCUGUAAUCCCAGCACUUUGGGAGGCCGAGAUGGGUGGAUCACGAGGUCAGGAGGUGGAGACCCUCCUGCCUAACAUGGUAAAAACCCCGUCUCUACUAAAAAUACAAAAAAAAAAAAAAAAAAUUAGCGAGGCAUGGUGGUGGGCACCUGUAGUCCCAGCUACUCGGGAGGCUGAGGCAGGAGAAUGGCGUGAACCCAGGAGGCGGAGCUUGCAGUGAGCUGACAUCACGCCACUGCGCCCCAGCCUGGGUGACAGUGCGAGACUCCAUCUCAAAAAAAAAGAAAAAAAACAGGUGUAUCUGAAGAGUUAUGCCAACAGGACACCCCAAUUCUCAGAGUUCCACAUAUAAAUAUAUUGCCUAAUCUACCUUCUUUUACCCUAGAGGCUUAAUCCCUCCAUCUUCUAGACUCUGAUGAGUUGCCAGCUGUAAUUCAGAGGGACCACCACCAACAUCUUACAGAGUCCUCGUUCUCACUGCCUGACAAAAAGAGCAGGCAAAAUCCAUAAGAAGCAUGUGGAACCUCAAAUUCCAAGUAUGAAUAUAUUUUCAACAUUAAAUAUUAGGUAUUAAGUAAUAAAAGCAACUCUUGGGGGGAAAAACUUGUUUCUAGUCUCACCACCUCAGUAUAACCUUACAAAGAAUAAAGAUAAAUGACAUUUAUUACUGUCAUUGCAGAUUACUAUUUACUAAGUAUCUCACUUUAAAUAAAUAAACCAAAAGUCCUCUGCUUUUAAUGUUUGGGUAGAGAAGAAAAAUGAAUUGUGUUUACCACUGGAGAACAGGAUCAGAAUCGGAAGAGGUAGAGUUUGUAAUAAUAAGCAUGUAUUACUUUUCUUCCUGACAUAGAAGGUUCCACUCCACUUCUACCUUCGAUGAGCUUAUAAAUCAAUUUAGGAAAUUAAGAGAAAACCAAAGAAGUUAUGGGUUGCACAGGAUGCCUAAGUAGAUUAGAAAAAUGAAUAAACUGUCACUUCAAAAACCAUUAGGAGGGCCAUGACACAAGGGGACGUGGGAUUCUUUAUACUGUGGCUAAAAAAAAUAGUUAAUAGCUCUUAGUUCCAUUCUUUUUCCUCCUAAAGUUCCUGAAUGUGGAGACUAAAUGCUGCUGCAGAAGUUAGGCUUCACACAGUUUGAAACUGAUCACUUUUUACAUGCAUGUAUAAUCUCAGAGUUGUUAUUACACUUAACUGGUGAUGACGAGAAUACUGAUAAUGAUGGCAAAGAAAAAUAAGGGCCAAGUGCAGUGACUCACACCUGUAAUCCCUGCACUUUGGGAGGCCAAGGCAGGCGGAUCACCUGAGGUCAGGAGUUCGAGACCAGCCUGACCAACAUGGAGAAACCCUGUCUCUACUAAAAAUACAGCAUCAGCCGGGUGUGGUGGUGCAUGCUUGUAAUCCCAGCUACUCGGGAGGCUGAGACAGGAGAAUUGCUUGAACCCAGGAGGCGGAGGUUGCAGUCAGCUGAGAUUACACCACUGCACUCCAGCCUGGGCAACAAGAGUGAAACUCCGUCUCAAAAAAAAAAAGAAAAAUAAAAUAAAAUAACAUUUUUAAAACUUGUUCUACUUGACAUUUUAAUAGGAUAACUUUCAGCUUUUCCUAUAGAAUGCAGUAAGUUAUGCUUAUUCACUGCUACACAGAAUUAGGUUGUUAAAGUCCUUUUCGGCAUAUAGCUAUGUGAGUGUAGCUGUGCAAAUUAAUGUAAUAUAAUGUAAAAAAUAAGCAAAACUGUUAAAACCAGUGAUUUGCUUAGAAAUAUUUUUUUCCAAAAAAAACUAAAAAAUAUAUAUAUAUUUUUUUUUUGAGACAGUCUCGCUCUGUCACCCAGGCUGGAGUGCAGUGGCGCAAUCUCAGCUCACUGCAAGCUCUGCCUCCUGGGUUCACGCCAUUCUCCUGCCUCAGCCUCCCGAGUAGCUGGGACUACAGGCACUCGCCACCAUACCCAGCUAAUUUUUUUUGUAUUUUUAGUAGAGACAGGGUUUCACCGCGUUAGCCAGGAUGGUCUUGAUCUCCUGACCUAGUGAUCCAUCCGUCUCGGCCUCCCAAAGUGCUGGGAUUACAGGUGUGAGCCACCGUACCCAGCCAAAACUAAAAAAAUUUUUGAGUGCAGUAGCAUGAUCAUGGCUCACUGCAACAUCAAAUUCCUGGGCUCAAGCGAUCCUCCUUCCUCAGCCUCCCAUGCAGUAUCACACAUGGCUAAUUAAAAAAAAAUUUUUUUUUUAGAUAUGGGGUCUUGCUAUGUUGCCUAGGCUGGUCCCAAACUCCUGGCCUCAAGUGAUCCUCCCACUUCAGCCUCCUGAGUAGCUGGGGUUACAGGCACAAGCCACUGCACGCAGCACAGAACUGCUAUGAUCUGCACUAAUUAGAAGACAGUAUAUUUAUUAUGUUGUUUACUUAAAAAGACAACAGUCUAUGGUUUAGGAAUUUCUAGUAAGAUCAUAUGUAACAGUUUUAAUAAUUAGUUUAUAAAUAUUUUAAAUAUUUAAAUUGAUAUCACUAACAGAAACAUAGCAUCAUGAUUCAAGGCAUUAUUUAAUACUGAGCUAUGAAUAAAGUAUUUUGAUGGAAAAAUAAUAUCUCAAUGCCAGCAUCCCACAGAAAUCACAAGGGACUACCCAAUUUCCAGAUGAUCAGGACACAGAAAAAGUGUCAUUGAAAUUUAGGCUUUUCCUUUUACUAUGGUAAAUUAAGACACAGGCUAUUACUACUUCUUUGGAUAAGAAAAAUUGGAAGUUACUACUUGAAUUUCAAAUAAUUUCCAAGGCAGGGCUUUACCAGUAGAGUACUAUUGAAUAGUCGUGAUGGAAAACAAUAAUCUGGUAGUAAUAAUUUGAGUCUCUGAUGGAGCCUCAGAAGCAGAAGGCAUAAAACACACAGAGGUUACACUUAGAAAGCACUUUAUAGUUAAACAGAUCAUUUUCGCACAUAGUGUCUCUUUGUUCCUCACAAAAUCCUCCAAGGUUAAGAUGGCUAUUUAUAACAAUCCUCAUUUUACAAAUGAAAAAACUAAGCCUGAAGCAUUAAGAAACACAAAUAGUGGCAGAACUGGAGCUUAAACCCAAGUCUUUUAGUUAGAGGUCCGAUCUGCUUUAUAUUACUUUACUUUCCUCCUCUCUAUUCAUAAAUUAAUGUGAAAGAGAAAAUGCAAACAUUUUCCUAGACAAAGUGAAACAUGUCCUCAUAUCUUACUUUAAAAAGAAGGAAAAGGAGUAGGAGGAAGAAGGAAGGAGAGAGAGAAGGGAGAAGGGGAAGAGGGGAGAAAAGCGAAGAGAGAGGAAAAGGGGGAAAGAGGGAAGAAGAGAAGAAAAUGGAGAAGGGAAGAGAAAGAAGUGGCUACUUCGAGACAUCUCUCAUUCCAAGAACCUGCCAUGGGAAAGUCAAUAAGCUUAUCAACAUCUGAACAAAACUUGAGAAGAACCCUAAACAAUUUUGAAGAACUCUAAUGGAAGAGUUCUGAAAGUUUGCCUACCAAAACAAUCCUGACAAGAGACAAAAACUGCAUAUAUUAGAGCUGAUGCUAGCUGCCAUCAGGCACCAUGAUGUGUCUGUCAAUUCUAUUCUCUUGUAACAACCAAUAACCCUGCAUUGUUAUAACACACAAUAUUUACUAUAUUCAUCUGCCCCAUAGAAAAGUUGUCCUGUUCAAUGAAUGAACAAAAAGUCAAACAGUGAGGAAUUUCAAGAGAAAGCUACUAUAUUAAAAAUAUUCUCAACUUGAAAUCAGUAUUACAAACUCUCAUAAAUGUCUCCAAAUUCAUGAAAAAGAAAAAGCUACGGGUUAAGAUUAAAGAACAUGGAUUCUUUUAUGCAUUAUACAGUAUGUAUUAUAGUCCCUAAAAAUAUUUAUAUUGUAUGAGUUAUCUAACUCACUGUUGAAGUAUCAAUGACGCUUUUCUCUCUUCCAUCAACAUCAUCAUCUUCAUCUUCAUCACUGAAAUCUGCAGCUGCACUUUCAAGGAAUUUGAAAUUAUCCAGCACGGAGGCAGAAUCUGUUAACUCAGAUUUUCUGGUGUAAAACAUGUAUAUCCUGCUUAGUUAAUCUUUUUAACUUCGACAUAAGAAGUAACCCAUGAUAUGUUACAUCAACUUCUAUUUAUAUGGUAACUAUAAAUCCCAAAUCACAUUAUCUACAUUGAUUCUUAUCAAUUACACUCUCACAAAUUUAAAAAGCAAUACAAGAAGUGGAUACUCUUUAAGUACUUUGUAAUCCUAUCUAUCUACUUGCCUGCCUACCUACCUACCUAUCUACCUGGAGACAAAGUCUCCGGGCUCUGUCACCCACGGUAGAGUGCAGUAGCAUGAUCUAACUCACUCCAGUCUCCGCCUCCCAGGUUCAUGCAAUUCUCCAGUUUCAGCCUCCCAAGCAGCUGGGAUUACAGGAGUGAGCCACCACACCCUGCUAAUUUUUGUAUUUUCAGUAGAGAUGGGGUUCCACUAUGUUGCCCAAACUGGCCUCUAAUUCCUGAGCCCAAGUGAUUCGCCCGCCUCAGCCUCAGCCUCCCAAAGUGCUGGGAUUAUAGGCGUGAGCCACUCGUAUCUAUUUAGAUUAGUGGUAAUCUAAUGUAAAAAACUCCCCUUCCUGAUUUAUUAUUAUUUUGAUCCUUACACCAACCUUAAUGUAUUUCAUUUUAAAAAUAUUUUUAUUAUCUCUACCGCCGUUUUUCUCUACUCUUAUUCUCUCUACAACUCUCCCUUUGACCUCUUACAUAAGUUUACACAACUAAGAAAAUAACAAGUAUGUCAUUUUUCUCUGAUGCAAUCUUGUAUUUCUGCUUAACAGCUAAAGUAAAAGAGAAAAUGUGUACAUAAAGUUACUAACAGCAAUACACUAGUCAAAUUAACAUUGCUACUAGACUCGACCCUGUUGAUUAAUAAGCCAUUAAUCUCUUAGAAAUAGUUGAAUUUUCAAAUAUAUGACUUGAAUUUAGUUCCCUCAAAAUAAAUUUAGUAAAGACUGGCUGGACGCAGUGGCUCACACCUGUAAUCCCAGCACUUUGGGAGGCUGAGGCAGGCGGAUCACGAGGUCAAGAGAUUGAGACCAUCCUGGCCAGCCAACAUGGUGAAACUCCAUCUCUACUAAAAAUACAAAAAUUAGCUGGGUGUAGUGGCGCAUGCCUGUAGUCUCGGCUACUCGGGAGGCUUAGGCAGCAGAAUCGCUUGAACCCGGGAGGCAGAGGUUGCAGUAAGCUGAGAUCGUGCCACUGCACUCCAGCCCAGGUGACAGAGUGAGACUCUGUCUCUAAAUAAAUAAAUAAAUAAAUAAAUAAAUUUAGUAAAGAUUCCAAUGGCCAGAACAGAAAGAUUUAUCUCCAGUUCAUUAGGUAAUCUUUUAGACAGAGAGCAUUUUCCUGAAAAAAAAAAAAAAUUGUAGAAACUACUAUGGACAAAAUUUUCAAAAGAGAUCUAUUUUAAAUUUCAAAUCUACUUACAGCUUUGUGUUUGGUAUUACCCUCCCCUAACUCUUUAUCCCUACUGAAAUCGGACAGAUUAGCAACAGUAUCUUUGUCAUUCUUAAAAGACAAAUCAAGGCCAAAACACACAAGAGUGGUCUUCCCUCAAAGUCUUUACUGAAGGUUAUUAAAGUAUGCAUUAUAGUUCUUAAAAACAUUUAUACUAUUGGCCAGGCGUGGGGGCUCAUGCCGGUAAUCCCAGUACUUCAGGAGGCCAAGGCGGGUGGAUCAUGAGGUCAAGAGAUGGAGACCAUCCUGGCCAACAUGGUGAAACCGCAUCUCUACUAAAAAUACAAAAAAUUAGCUGGGUGCGGUGGCACGCGCCUGUAGUCUCAGCUACUCGGGAGGCUGAGGCAGGAGAAUGGCGUGAACCCAGGAGGCAGAGUUUGCAGUGAGCUGAGAUGGCGCCACUGCACUCCAGCCUGGGUGACAGAGCGAGACUCCGCCUCAAAAAAAAAAAAAAAAAACAUUUAUACUAUCUAAGUUAACUUGAUGACUUACAUUAAACCCAGAACAUAAAAACAGAACUAAAGAUAAUGUCCACACAGUCUAUAUCUAUAGAGAAAUAACAUGCCUUACAUUUACAAAUAUAAGUUAAUGUAUGUUUUUAAUACAGCCUACAAAGUUGGAAAUGUAUUCUUAAUUAUUAAUGAAUACAUUUUAAGGCUCCAAGGAACUUUGCUUAUAAAAGUCCUACAGUGAACCUUUACCUAAUCCCAUAAUUUUAAUUUAUAUUCCAAAUAGCAGGAACUAUCUUCUUGCUAGAAAAUUUAUAGAGUUCAAUUAAAACCAUUCUUCCUUCCUAAACAAGUGUCAAAAUAAAAGUCAUACUUAAACAUUCACAGAAUUUUUGGCUUUUUAUUCAAUUAACAAUCACGGAAAUUUUUUCCCAAUAAAUAAGAAUCUCUUUAUUGAACUGUUUAUGAUUAUUUUAAGUAGAAUCAUAUGUAAUUGUAUGAUACAUAAUCCAAAAUGGAAAACAAAAUAUUUCAAAUAGCUACUGAAUUGUUCACACUUACGCUGUCACUUCAAAAUAGCUACUUAAAAUAGAUAUUUUAUAUCAAAGAUAAAUUACAACAUUAAUAGAUAAACAAAAGUGGUUAAAAAACAGUGUUACUUCUACAGAAUUUGAGGUAUUUUUACGACUUCUGGAUCACCAAUCAUGAAACGUCAUUCUUACAGAUUUGUACUGAAUUUCCAAAUAAAAUCUUUUCUGAAGUUUUAUUUACUGAUUAAGUCAAUAUACUAAAAUCUAUUAAAUAUCUGUAUUAAAUAAAUAUCACAAAUAAUAUUCUUGAAUUAAAAUAGUCAUAAAUAACUCCAAUCCUUGUUACCUUCUAACCAAAUAAAAUGUUAGAAUUUUUAUUAAGUUAUAAAUUAUUUCUAUGUCACUACCUAAAAGUACAAGUAAUGUCCAUAAAACCAAAAAUAUUUAAUAAGAACUAAUAAUAGCUAAAACACUUUCCAGACAAAAUACUUACGCAAUCAUUGCUGUCUCUUUAACUUCAGCCUCUGUGCCAUUUACAACUGAGUCCUGAUUUUUGUCAUCUUCCCUGUCCGUGACAUCACUUGAAAAGCCCAACAAAGCUCGCACUCGUUUAGAUUUCACAUCUAGAAUAGUAUCUGUAUAACCCACCUCCUGUAGAUACCUGUGUGAAGAGAAUCCUUAGAGUUCAGUCAUACUGGAAUCAGUAUUCUAUAAUUUAAUAUGUAAAUAAAAGUAUUUAUUUAAACUCAUUGCCUGCAUAAGACUUAACAGUACAGUACUAUGCUAGUAAGACUUGUUAAUAAAUAAUCUUCCAGCUGCAGAUGGAGCUGUCUCUUGCAGUACCAGCCUCUACAGUCACUGAGAAAAAUGAGAGAACUAUACAAUACACCAUUCAUUACAUUUACCAUAAGAAGAAGCUGGUCUUUAAUAUAUCUAAUAGCACAUUCUUUUCUUUAGGCUGGAUUGGAGCUAGACUACCAAAUCAGUAUUUUAUAAUAGUUAUUCCGGUAGUUUUUUUAAAUUUGUCAUGGAUCAACUGUUUGUGAUCUAGACAGAAUGUUCCUAGCAUAUAUCGUCUCCUUCAUUACACACAAGGUAGUUAUUUCUCGAGUCACUCUACAGAAUUGAAGCUCCUAUCCUG
rnacentral:lncRNA from 1 species